rnacentral:rRNA from 1 species
UACGGGGGGGGCAAGCGUUGUUCGGAAUUACUGGGCGUAAAGGGCUCGUAGGCGGCCAACUAAGUCAGACGUGAAAUCCCUCGGCUUAACCGGGGAACUGCGUCUGAUACUGGAUGGCUUGAAUCCGGGAGAGGGAUGCGGAAUUCCAGGUGUAGCGGUGAAAUGCGUAGAUAUCUGGAGGAACACCGGUGGCGAAGGCGGGUCUCUGGGCAGUAACUGACGCUGAGGAGCGAAAGCGUGGGGAGCGAACAGG